rnacentral:lncRNA from 1 species
UUGGUAAACGUACAGCUCUAAACAAGACGGUAAUAAAAUGGAUUUACAAUGUCGAUGUUGAAAAUAUAGACACCCUUUUGUUCAUGAACUGUGUGAAGUGAGGAUAAAUUGUAGUUUCGUGUAUAAGCUUAUAACAGUGGAGAUAGCCUCGAAGAUGAUUAUUUUGACAAAACUAUAAAAAUUAAUGUAAAGACAAGAUUCAGUCAUGGCAGAGGGUGGCCGUAGCGACGACGAAAGGUACCCGAUCCCUGAGUCUAGUGAAGAUAGUGAAGAUGGUAAGUAUCAACGUGAUACAAUAUCAAUAAAAAAU